GAUGAACGCGGGCGGCGUGCCUAACACAUGCAAGUCGAGCGAGGGUUUGCUCAGUAUUGAGUAUUCUAAGUCUAGAAUGUUCAAUUCUGAGCAAAACCAAGCGGCGGACGGGUGAGUAACGCGUGGGUAACCUGCCCUAUACACAUGGAUAACAUACUGAAAAGUUUACUAAUACAUGAUAAUAUAUAUUUGUGGCAUCGCAGAUAUAUCAAAGUGUUAGCGGUAUAGGAUGGACCCGCGUCUGAUUAGCUAGUUGGUGAGAUAACUGCCCACCAAGGCGACGAUCAGUAGCCGACCUGAGAGGGUGAUCGGCCACAUUGGAACUGAGACACGGUCCAAACUCCUACGGGAGGCAGCAGUGGGGAAUAUUGCACAAUGGGCGAAAGCCUGAUGCAGCAACGCCGCGUGAACGAUGAAGGUCUUCGGAUCGUAAAGUUCUGUUGCAGGGGAAGAUAAUGACGGUACCCUGUGAGGAAGCCCCGGCUAACUACGUGCCAGCAGCCGCGGUAAUACGUAGGGGGCUAGCGUUAUCCGGAUUUACUGGGCGUAAAGGGUGCGUAGGUGGUCCUUCAAGUCGGUGGUUAAAGGCUACGGCUCAACCGUAGUAAGCCGCCGAAACUGGAGGACUUGAGUGCAGGAGAGGAAAGUGGAAUUCCCAGUGUAGCGGUGAAAUGCGUAGAUAUUGGGAGGAACACCAGUAGCGAAGGCGGCUUUCUGGACUGCAACUGACACUGAGGCACGAAAGCGUGGGUAGCAAACAGG
rnacentral:rRNA from 1 species